ensembl:lncRNA
UUCGCUAUAAGGAUGCCCUAUGCAAUAUUGAUUAUCCGAGUUUCUAGAUUAACAGUGUGUCCUGUAUUUUAUCAGAUCCCUCUAGCUAGAGGUCACAUCCUGCAAGAGCUGAGCUGGCUGAGCUCCCCCUCCUGACACCAGGUCUAAACUCUUAACCUCUGUGACAGAGAGUCUCUAACCAGUUAUCCCCAAGGGACUCCUUCAGCCACAAUACAUGCACGUGGCAUACCUCUCAUUCAUAGAGUCUAUUGACUUUCCUCAGUAAUCAUUCUAUUACCCUCAGAGCCCCAGACUCAGGGCCUCUCCAGAAUCUUCUGCAUCCUGACGUCUGGAUCAGGGACCUUUGGUGUGUUUCAACCAGAGAACUGAAUCUGGCAGAUGCAGAGACUCAGUGCCCUCACAAGGGGGCAGCAGCCAGAGCUGACAAGAUGAGUGAGGAUCUAGCCCAGGAGGAAUUCCAGACACAGAGCUGGCCUGGAACCCUUGCUGGGAACCUGGACCUUCAGUUGUAAAUCAGGGAGGGGGGAUGACUCAAAGGGGAAGUUUGGGGCCUGAGGCCCAGAAACCUCUUCCUAGGCCAUGAGAGGAUGAGGAUGCUCCGCAGUUGCUGGGAAAAUGCCGAGCCUGCUCCAGGGCAGGCGGGUGAAGUGGGUCGAUGGAUAGGACCUUCUUAUAGCUGAUACCACUCAGGACUCAUGUGGACUCCCAUGUUUUCCUCAGCUCACAGGCGCUGACCUCUGUCCUCCUCUCCUAUCACACCCCAUUGGAGCUUUCCAAGAAUCUGAGGUGUGACAUGGGGCUGUGGGACAUCAGAGGCAGAAAUCCUCAAUAUGUGCAUGUGUAACUCUCCCUGUGAAGCUCUUUUUCUUUUUCUUUUUUUUGAGGAAAAGUAGCCCUGAGCUAACAUCUGCUGCUAAUCCUCCUCUUUUUGCUGAGGAAGACUGGCCCUGAGUUAACAUCCAUGCCCAUCUUCCUCUACUUUAUACAUGGGACGCUUACCACAGCAUGGCGUGCCAACUGGUGCCAUGUCUGCACCUGGGGUCCGAACCUGCAAACCCUGGGCCACUGAAGUGGAACGUGCACACUUAACUGCUACGCCACUAGGCCGGCCCGUUCCUGUGAAGCUCUUGAUGAACCUCAGAUCCCAAGGUCACCUUCUCCUGAACAGGGAGCAGCACAGACAUUGGGGGUCACCAUGGCAACGGUACCAAGGACUCCCAUGCAGAACCCCUAUGUGUGUGACCUAGGACGGAUGUCAUUGACCUGCCAAGAGCAUGAACCUGAUUCUCCAGGUUCUGUUUGUUAACAGAACUGCUUUCACCACCUGUGCUCCAGCCUGAGGACCAGGCUGAUUAUCAUUGCUAUGGAGCUGAACACAAUCCCAAUGCCACUACGAGCUCCUGUUCCACUGGAAAAUGUGAACUUUCUGGAGCUCCUGAAUUCCCAGGUGCUGGCCAUUCCUCUCCACUGAGAAGAUCUGAACCAACCCAUUAUGAAGGAAGACACACAAAUGAGAAACAGACAUGUGAAAAGAUGCUCAACCUAACAGGUCAUUGGGGUAUUACAAGUUUAAACAAUGAGAGACAAGCAGACCCUAUUAGAAUGGCUGAGACCUAACACAUGACAACAGUAGAUGCUGCCUGGGAUGUGGGGUGGCAGGAACCCUCAUUCUUGCUAGUGGGAAUGCAAAAUGUCAGCUACUUGUAAGACACGUUGGCAGUUUCUUACAAAGCUAAACUAACUCUUGUAUGAUACAGAAAUCACACUCCUAGGUAUUUACCUAAAUGAGUUACUUGGGUGGACACAAGAAUAUCUCAUAGAUGUUUACAGCUGCUUUAUUCAUGAUUGCCAAAACUUGAAAGCAACCAAUAUGUCCUUCAAAAGGUGAAGUGAUAAAUACCAGUACACCUAUACGAUGGAAUAUGAUUUAGCGAUAAAAAUAAAUAUUAUCUGGCCACAGAACGACAC